UACGGAGGGUGCAAGCGUUAUCCGGAUUCACUGGGUUUAAAGGGUGCGUAGGAGGGCAGGUAAGUCAGUGGUGAAAUCCUAGAGCUUAACUCUAGAACUGCCGUUGAUACUAUCUGUCUUGAAUCCCGUGGAGAUGAGCGGAAUAUGUCAUGUAGCGGUGAAAUGCUUAGAUAUGACAUAGAACACCAAUUGCGAAGGCAGCUCGUUACACGAAGAUUGACUCUGAGGCACGAAAGCGUGGGGAUCAAACAGG
rnacentral:rRNA from 1 species